UACGAAGGGGGCUAGCGUUGCUCGGAAUCACUGGGCGUAAAGGGUGCGUAGGCGGGUCUUUAAGUCAGGGGUGAAAUCCUGGAGCUCAACUCCAGAACUGCCCUUGAUACUGGCGGUCUCGAGUCCGGGAGAGGUGAGUGGAACUGCGAGUGUAGAGGUGAAAUUCGUAGAUAUUCGCAAGAACACCAGUGGCGAAGGCGGCUCACUGGCC
rnacentral:rRNA from 1 species